rnacentral:rRNA from 1 species
AAUGAACGCUGGCGGCAGGCCUAACACAUGCAAGUCGAACGGAUCCUUCGGGAUUAGUGGCGGACGGGUGAGUAACGCGUGGGAACAUACCCAAAGGUACGGAAUAGCCUCGGGAAACUGGGAGUAAUACCGUAUGUGCUCGAAAGAGGAAAGAUUUAUCGCCUUUGGAUUGGCCCGCGUUGGCUUUGGUAGUGGGUGGGGUAAUGGCCUACCAAGCCGACGAUCCAUAGCUGGUUUGAGAGGAUGAUCAGCCACACUGGGACUGAGACACGGCCCAGACUCCUACGGGAGGCAGCAGUGGGGAAUCUUAGACAAUGGGGGAAACCCUGAUCUAGCCAUGCCGCGUGAUCGAUGAAGGCCUUAGGGUUGUAAAGAUCUUUCAGGUGGGAAGAUAAUGACGGUACCACCAAAAGAAGCCCCGGCUAACUCCGUGCCAGCCGCCGCCGUAA